CUGCGAGUUCGCGGGAGAGUAAGUUAUUGCCAGGGUUUUUAUUUUAUACUUUAAACAUUGAUUUUAUUUUUUAUGUUUUUAGAUGUUCAUGUUUUUGAAUGUUUUAUUUAAAUAAUAUAAAAAAUAAAAUAUAUAUUGACAUGGAUUAAACAAGGAUAUAUAUUAUUCUAUGUUGCAUAAGCAAGUUGGCAAAAUAGAGAUGGAAGAUAAAAAUAUGGUCAAAGUAAUAAGAGUCUAUGGUGAAUGCCUAGGA
rnacentral:misc_RNA from 1 species